ensembl:snoRNA Small nucleolar RNA SNORA53
UACACGUUCCUUAGAUCCACCUCUGGGGGUUGUCCAGCUCUGGUGCUGCUGCAUCAGUCUGUUUGACCCCAGCAGCUUUUCUGGCUGUACAGUUAGAGGUGCUUGAGUCAUUGGCGUGUAAGAGCAGUCUACCUGCUUCUCCAGCUCAAUCACUGCCCUGGCACCCAUGCUGGAUUUCACCAGGGUAGACAAGCUGGAGUGCGGACAAG